CGGCUAACAUUCAUCGUKKACGGCGUGGACUACCAGGGUAUCUAAUCCUGUUUGCUCCCCACGCUUKBKCACCUCAGCGUCAGUMAUGKACCAGUAAGCCGCCUUCGCCACUGGUGUUCCUCCGAAUAUCUACGAAUUUCACCUCUACACUCGGAAUUCCACUUACCUCUUCCAUACUCAAGAUACCCAGUAUCAAAGGCAGUUCCGCAGUUGAGCUGCGGGAUUUCACCCCUGACUUAAAUAUCCGCCUACGUGCGCUUUACGCCCAGUAAUUCCGAACAACGCUAGCCCCCUUCGUAUUACCGCGGCUGCUGGCACGAAGUUAGCCGGGGCUUCUUCUCCGACUACCGUCAUUAUCUUCAUCGGUGAAAGAGCUUUACAACCCUAAGGCCUUCAUCACUCACGCGGCAUGGCUGGAUCAGGCUUGCGCCCAUUGUCCAAUAUUCCCCACUGCUGCCUCCCGUAGAGUUUGGGCCGUGUCUCAGUCCCAAUGUGGCUGAUCAUCCUCUCAGACCAGCUAUGG
rnacentral:rRNA from 1 species